CGAUGGCGACCGGCGCACGGGUGAGUAACACGUAUCCAACCUGCCGUCUACUCUUGGACAGCCUUCUGAAAGGAAGAUUAAUACAAGAUGGCAUCAUGAGUCCGCAUGUUCACAUGAUUAAAGGUAUUCCGGUAGACGAUGGGGAUGCGUUCCAUUAGAUAGUAGGCGGGGUAACGGCCCACCUAGUCUUCGAUGGAUAGGGGUUCUGAGAGGAAGGUCCCCCACAUUGGAACUGAGACACGGUCCAAACUCCUACGGGAGGCAGCAGUGAGGAAUAUUGGUCAAUGGGCGAGAGCCUGAACCAGCCAAGUAGCGUGAAGGAUGACUGCCCUAUGGGUUGUAAACUUCUUUUAUAAAGGAAUAAAGUCGGGUAUGCAUACCCGUUUGCAUGUACUUUAUGAAUAAGGAUCGGCUAACUCCGUGCCAGCAGCCGCGGUAAUACGGAGGAUCCGAGCGUUAUCCGGAUUUAUUGGGUUUAAAGGGAGCGUAGAUGGAUGUUUAAGUCAGUUGUGAAAGUUUGCGGCUCAACCGCAAAAUUGCAGUUGAUACUGGAUAUCUUGAGUGCAGUUGAGGCAGGCGGAAUUCGUGGUGUAGCGGUGAAAUGCUUAGAUAUCACGAAGAACUCCGAUUGCGAAGGCAGCCUGCUAAGCUGCAACUGACAUUGAGGCUCGAAAGUGUGGGUAUCAAACAGGAUUAGGUACCCUGGUAGUCCACACGGUAAACGAUGAAUACUCGCUGUUUGCGAUAUACAGCAA
rnacentral:rRNA from 1 species